UUUCUAUGGUGAUGGGCACUGGCCGAUUACGUCACCACAUAGCGCCGACGAGCCUGGCGGGUGCCUGAGUUCCGGUAGCGCGUGGUGAGCGACGCACACGCUGGGUAUUUAGGCAACAAACUGUACUAAACUCUACAAAGGAAAGUGCCCAAAUAUUCCCAAAGUCAGGGAAAAAGAACCAGUUACUGCUUGGGUCACACAAUCCCCAACUAGAAGACUGCACGACCCGGUUGCUAGGCAGCACACCAGCAUUUUACUGAAUGGCCCCCUGUAAGAUGAUGUCACAGAGCUGAAUGAUGUCACAGAACAUGUGAAGCACAGCUACUGCACGCAGCUCCGGAAUGCACUGCGAUGGCUCCAGUUGUUUCUAUGGUGAUGGGCACUGGCCGAUUACGUCACCACAUAGCGCCGACGAGCCUGGCGGGUGCCUGAGUUCCGGUAGCGCGUGGUGAGCGACGCACACGCUGGGUAUUUAGGCAACAAACUGUACUAAACUCUACAAAGGAAAGUGCCCAAAUAUUCCCAAAGUCAGGGAAAAAGAACCAGUUACUGCUUGGGUCACACAAUCCCCAACUAGAAGGUAUAUUAAAAUAUAAGCUUUAUUAUUUUACUAAAAUCGAUAUCCCCAAUGUUAAUAUAAUGUAUUGGCUUAUAUGCACAUGUAUAAUGUUGGUAGACAAGUUGUAUAAAUCUUAUUCUUAUUCCUGGGAUAUAAAAAAAGUGAAAUAAUAAAAUUGAUAAGGAAAAUAAUAGAUAAGUGCAGAACUCAAGAAAUUAGAUACGUGAAUAAAGAUU